CGGGAAACUGGGGAUAAUACCUAUAGGUUACAGACGCUGGAAUGCCCUGUAACCGAAAGUUCCGGCGCCUCAGGAUGGAUCUGCGGCCGAUUAGGUUGUUGUCGGGGUAACGGCCCAACAAGCCAGUAAUCGGUACGGGUUGUGGGAGCAAGAGCCCGGAGUUGGAUUCUGAGACACGAAUCCAGGCCCUACGGGGCGCAGCAGGCGCGAAAACUUUACAAUGCGGGCAACCGUGAUAAGGGAACCUCGAGUGCCUGUAUAUGCAGGCUGUCUGAGUGUCUAAAACACACUCAAAGAAAGGGCCGGGCAAGACCGGUGCCAGCCGCCGCGGUAAUACCGGCGGCUCGAGUGGUGGCCACUUUUAUUGGGCUUAAAGCGUUCGUAGCUGGGUUGUUAAGUCCCUUGGGAAAUCCGGCGGCUCAACCGUCGGGCGUCUAAGGGAUACUGGCAGUCUUGGAACCGGGAGAGGUGAGGGGUACUUCGGGGGUAGGAGUGAAAUCCUGUAAUCCUCGAGGGACCACCUGUGGCGAAGGCGCCUCACCAGAACGGCUUCGACAGUGAGGGACGAAAGCUGGGGGAGCAAACCGGAUUAGAUACCCGGGUAGUCCCAGCCGUAAACGAUGUGCGUUAGGUGUAUCGAUGACCACGAGUCAUCGAGGUGCCGAAGGGAAACCGUGAAACGUACCGCCUGGGAAGUACGACC
rnacentral:rRNA from 1 species